UCCCUUGAACCUGUAGCUUCCUCAAUAAGCCAUAGAAUUCCCUUUUCCUUCCCUUACACGUCGGCUUCCAAGAGAAAGAAACAAAUUCUCUUCUCUUUAGCAUCCAUCGGCUUCUAGAGCAAGGAAAAGAAGAAAAACUCUUCCAGCCUCACCUUGUGACUACAACCCACCUCUCUCCCAUUCUAUUUCUCUUCCAAUCUCAAGCCAAGCAUCUAUUUUUCCUCCUUCUCAAGAGGGAAAUAGCAAGGAGUUUAUUUUCAAGAUUCAAGGAACCUACUAGUAAAGCAUCAAAGUAUGGAUGAAGAGGCUGUGGAGCCAGGCACUACUGAGGAGGGAGGGGCUGAUGUUUAGAGUUCCCCUGUCGGUUCGACUUUUGAUGAUAAUGGUUUAUGUUUUUUUUAUGUUUUUUUUUUUUUUUUUAUGUUUUACGGUGGGUCCCGUGUUGGGACGUUUUGUUGGAUUAACUUUAAGACAAUAUAUCUUUUAGGUAUGUUUUAAAUACUA